rnacentral:rRNA from 1 species
UCGGGAAUUUUGGGCAAUGGGCGAAAGCCUGAUCCAGCCAUGCCGCGUGUGUGAAGAAGGUCUUCGGAUUGUAAAGCACUUUAAGUUGGGAGGAAGGGCAGUUACCUAAUACGUGAUUGUUUUGACGUUACCGACAGAAUAAGCACCGGCUAACUCUGUGCCAGCAGCCGCGGUAAUACAGAGGGUGCAAGCGUUAAUCGGAAUUAUUGGGCGUAAAGGGUGCGUAGGUUGUUUGUUAAGUUGGAUGUGAAAUCCCCGGGCUCAACCUGGGAACUGCAUUCAAAACUGACAAGCUAGAGUAUGGUAGAGGGUGGUGGAAUUUCCUGUGUAGCGGUGAAAUGCGUAGAUAUAGGAAGGAACACCAGUGGCGAAGGCGACCACCUGGACUGAUACUGACACUGAGUGCGAAAGCGUGGGGAGCAAACAGGAUUAGAUACCCACGUAGUCCCUGAGCGGGCUGGCAAGGCGCAU